AGUUUUUUUUGCUGUAAUUCGGUUAUAAAUGCACAUAGAGACAUAGAUAAUACUUAUAUUGGACUUACCUAGACGCGGUAAAAUUUCCAAAAUCAUCGGACGACUUUUGACUUUUUUUAAAAAGCAUUUUGAAAUCAAAUUGAAACGGAAAUCACAAAAACAAUAAGGCACUUCGAAUGUAUUAUCCAACUGCGCUCGGAGUUGUAUUUCGUCAAGCAAUGGUUUAUCAUUGAUACAGGUACAAAUGAAAUAACCUUAUGUGUCCUUCCGAACUUCUCACCUACAACAGUCGCAAAAUACCCCUCGAUUUGUUGUGCAAACUUUUCUACCAGAAAUCUUGCU